rnacentral:rRNA from 1 species
UUCCCGGCCUUGUACACACCGCCCGUCACACCACGAAAGUCGGCAAUACCCGAAGCCGGUGGCCUAACCCGCAAGGGAGGGAGCCGUCGAAGGUAGGGUUGAUGAUUGGGGUG